UACGUAGGGGGCGAGCGUUUGUCCGGAUUCAUUGGGCGUAAAGAGCUCGUAGGCGGUUCGGUAAGUCAGAUGUGAAAACUCCGGGCUCAACUCGGAGAGGCCAUCUGAUACUGCCGUGACUGGAGUUCGGUAGAGGAGUGUGGAAUUCCCGGUGUAGCGGUGAAAUGCGCAGAUAUCGGGAGGAACACCAGCGGCGAAGGCGGCACUCUGGGCCGAUACGUGACGCUGAGGAGCGAAAGCGUGGGGAGCAAACAGG
rnacentral:rRNA from 1 species